CAGCCGCCGCGGUAACACGUAGGUGGCAAGCGUUGUCCGGAAUAACUGGGCGUAAAGGGCUCGCAGGCGGUUUCUUAAGUCUGAUGUGAAAGCCCCCGGCUCAACCGGGGAGGGUCAUUGGAAACUGGGAAACUUGAGUGCAGAAGAGGAGAGUGGAAUUCCACGUGUAGCGGUGAAAUGCGUAGAGAUGUGGAGGAACACCAACGGCGAAAGCACUCUGCUGGGCCGGCACUGACACUGAGAGACGAAAGCUAGGGGAGCAAAUGGGAUUAGAUACCCCGGUAGUCCCUGUCUCUUAUAC
rnacentral:rRNA from 1 species